AUGACAUAAGUAUGUCAACAAUCAUUGCGUUUAGCGGAGAAAACCGCUCAAUGAGCGAUUUCCCUACUUGGCAUAUUUUGUAGUUUCUCGACAGUCACGAUUGACUUCGUCCGCAGAUUCCUCUUACCAAUAGCGUCGAAAUGAAUCCGAAUCCUGUACCUUCUACUCCUUUAUUAACUGGUCAAGAACCGAUAGUCACGCUUCUUCCAUAUGUAGCAGGAAGGAUUCCGGCAUCAAGAGCAACAACAAGCGAAGUAGUAUACAACAGCAGUUAUUCCUAAUAAACGGCAUGGCCCAAGGCGAUCUUUUAGGACACAGGGUCAGUGGCUAUUAUACUUCUAGUUGGACGUUAAAUUCUACUCACGAGCCUUCGUCGUCGAUACCUCAUUACCCGUUUCCACCGAUAGUGACGGAUACAUUCGGCGCAUGCUUUCAUAAACUGCGAAAGCGAUCCAAUGUCCAGUUGAUUAGAUGUGUCCAAGCAACGUGAGCUCUCAACGUUCGUACUUCGUUCAGCCACCGCUGUCCAACGUUACUCUCUUUUCCAAGAACAAGGAGAUGGAGAAGGAGUACUGAGAGAAUGUGCACAAAGCUAGCGAAGGUAUUGACGGCAAUCCGCCUACCCUGGCUACUUCGAGGUUCAACAUGUAUUUUAAUAUUCUGAUAUCUGCUCUGAUCUACACGGUCAUCAACGAUCUUUCUUUUCAUAUUACAUAAAAAUAUAAGGAAAAAAACCCUCUCGAGAGAGAAAGAGCUUCAUAAUUUGUAUCCAUUCUAUUAUGUCUAUAUGAGAAGAUAUAUUGAUACAUGGAAAUAUUCUUACAUUUUGUAAUCACAUGCGCACAUGGCAAAAUAUGUUUUUGAGAAGAACAAAGGAAAAUAUAAUGAAGAUAUGAAAAGAAGAGCAGAAACAAAGAGAUGCCUGAAAAAUGAGAAAAUUGUUAACAAAUAGCGUGAACAAUAUCAUUAAAAUGUAAGAUGGUAGUAAACGUUACUUUAUUUAGUUUGGUA